rnacentral:rRNA from 2 species
AAUGAACGCUGGCGGCAGGCCUAACACAUGCAAGUCGAACGGAGUUAUAUUGUAGCUUGCUAUGGUAUAACUUANUGGCAGACGGGUGAGUAAUGUAUAGGAAUCUACCUAGUAGUACGGAAUAAUUGUUGGAAACGGCAACUAAUACCGUAUACGCCCUACGGGGGAAAAAUUUAUUGCUAUUAGAUGAGCCUAUAUUAGAUUAGUUAGUUGGUGAGGUAAAGGCUUACCAAGACAAUGAUCUAUAGCUGAUCUGAGAGGAUGAUCAGCCACACUGGAACUGAGAUACGGUCCAGACUCCUACGGGAGGCAGCNGUGGGGAAUAUUGGACAAUGGGCGAAAGCCUGAUCCAGCCAUGCCGCAUGAGUGAAGAAGGCCUUCGGGUUGUAAAGCUCUUUUA